GAAACGUGCUUCUAACCAAAUGGGACAUCUGCAAUCCAUUAGGGGUGUCCUGAAGAGAGAAAGUGAGAGAAGAGGUCUGGGCAGAAAGCCUGCUCAGCAGAAACACGAGCAUGAGGACAUGUGGACCCUUCUGCCAGGAUCUGAGGACGGCGAGGUUCUAAGACAGGUCACCUUUUCAGGGACUCCCAAGAAAACCACUAGCUUUGAUUAGAAGCUGUGUAACAAAGGCUGUUGCGAAAUACCCACGGCUGUGAAAAUGAUUCGGAGGUUAGCCCCUAUUUAAGAAGCACCAGAAGAGCCCUGUUCUAGAUACAGUAAGAAUCAGCAGUCCCUAAC
ensembl:lncRNA